CCUACGGGAGGCAGCAGUGAGGAAUUUUCCGCAAUGGGCGAAAGCCUGACGGAGCGACGCCGUGUGGGUGACGAAGUCCUUCGGGAUGUAAAGCCCUGUCAGGGGGGAAGAUAAUGACGGUACCCCCAGAGGAAGCCCCGGCUAACUACGUGCCAGCAGCCGCGGUAAAACGUAGGGGGCAAGCGUUGUCCGGAAUUAUUGGGCGUAAAGCGCGUGCAGGCGGCGACGUAAGUCGGAGGUUAAAGGUAUGGGCUCAACCCAUAUUGGGCCUUCGAUACUGCGUUGCUCGAGAGCAGGAGAGGGAAGCGGAACUUCCGGUGUAGCGGUGAAAUGCGUAGAUAUCGGAAGGAACACCAGUGGCGAAGGCGGCUUCCUGGACUGCUUCUGACGCUGAGACGCGAAAGCUAGGGGAGCGAACGGGAUUAGAUACCCCUGUAGU
rnacentral:rRNA from 1 species